rnacentral:rRNA from 1 species
CCUGGCUCAGGAUGAACGCUGGCGGCGUGCCUAAUACAUGCAAGUCGAGCGAACAGAUAAGGAGCUUGCUCCUUUGACGUUAGCGGCGGACGGGUGAGUAACACGUGGGUAACCUACCUAUAAGACUGGGAUAACUUCGGGAAACCGGAGCUAAUACCGGAUAAUAUUUCGAACCGCAUGGUUCGAUAGUGAAAGAUGGUUUUGCUAUCACUUAUAGAUGGAUCCGCGCCGUAUUAGCUAGUUGGUAAGGUAACGGCUUACCAAGGCAACGAUACGUAGCCGACCUGAGAGGGUGAUCGGCCACACUGGAACUGAGACACGGUCCAGACUCCUACGGGAGGCAGCAGUAGGGAAUCUUCCGCAAUGGGCGAAAGCCUGACGGAGCAACGCCGCGUGAGUGAUGAAGGUCUUCGGAUCGUAAAACUCUGUUAUUAGGGAAGAACAUACGUGUAAGUAACUAUGCACGUCUUGACGGUACCUAAUCAGAAAGCCACGGCUAACUACGUGCCAGCAGCCGCGGUAAUACGUAGGUGGCAAGCGUUAUCCGGAAUUAUUGGGCGUAAAGCGCGCGUAGGCGGUUUUUUAAGUCUGAUGUGAAAGCCCACGGCUCAACCGUGGAGGGUCAUUGGAAACUGGAAAACUUGAGUGCAGAAGAGGAAAGUGGAAUUCCAUGUGUAGCGGUGAAAUGCGCAGAGAUAUGGAGGAACACCAGUGGCGAAGGCGACUUUCUGGUCUGUAACUGACGCUGAUGUGCGAAAGCGUGGGGAUCAAACAGGAUUAGAUACCCUGGUAGUCCACGCCGUAAACGAUGAGUGCUAAGUGUUAGGGGGUUUCCGCCCCUUAGUGCUGCAGCUAACGCAUUAAGCACUCCGCCUGGGGAGUACGACCGCAAGGUUGAAACUCAAAGGAAUUGACGGGGACCCGCACAAGCGGUGGAGCAUGUGGUUUAAUUCGAAGCAACGCGAAGAACCUUACCAAAUCUUGACAUCCUUUGACCGCUCUAGAGAUAGAGUUUUCCCCUUCGGGGGACAAAGUGACAGGUGGUGCAUGGUUGUCGUCAGCUCGUGUCGUGAGAUGUUGGGUUAAGUCCCGCAACGAGCGCAACCCUUAAACUUAGUUGCCAGCAUUCAGUUGGGCACUCUAAGUUGACUGCCGGUGACAAACCGGAGGAAGGUGGGGAUGACGUCAAAUCAUCAUGCCCCUUAUGAUUUGGGCUACACACGUGCUACAAUGGACAAUACAAAGGGCAGCGAAACCGCGAGGUCAAGCAAAUCCCAUAAAGUUGUUCUCAGUUCGGAUUGUAGUCUGCAACUCGACUACAUGAAGCUGGAAUCGCUAGUAAUCGUAGAUCAGCAUGCUACGGUGAAUACGUUCCCGGGUCUUGUACACACCGCCCGUCACACCACGAGAGUUUGUAACACCCGAAGCCGGUGGAGUAACCAUUUUGGAGCUAGCCGUCGAAGGUGGGACAAAUGAUUGGGGUGAAGUCGUAACAAGGUAGCCGUAUCGGAAGGUGCGGCUGGAUCA